GAUGAAGAACGUAGCGAAAUGCGAUACGUAAUGUGAAUUGCAGAAUUCAGUGAAUCAUCGAAUCUUUGAACGCACAUUGCGCCCUGUGGUAUUCCGCAGGGCAUGCCUGUUCGAGCGUCAUUUCAACCCUCAAGCUCUGCUUGGUGUUGGGCCCUGCCCGCUGCGGCCGGCCCUAAAGACAGUGGCGGUGCCGCCUGGCCCUGAGCGUAGUACAUCUCUCGCUCCAGUGCCCGGUGGUAGCCUGCCAGAACCCCAACUCUCGUGGUUGACCUCGGAUCAGGUAGGGAUACCCGCUGAACUUAAGCAUAUCAAUAAGCGGAGGA
rnacentral:misc_RNA from 1 species